rnacentral:tmRNA from 1 species
GGGGACGAUCGGUUUCGACGAUCUGAGGUGAUCGUGGGGAAGCGUGUCGUGGACGCCAAGUGACCACGUUAAUACCCCUUGAGCAACCCAAUAAGUGCCGAAUCUAAGCGCACUGACUUCGCCCUCGCUGCCUGAAAUACAGCGACCGCGAGUCUGUCAGCCUGAGUUUGCUAUCGACUCAGUGCCUGGCAUCAGCUAGAUAGCCACUGGAGAGCCCUUCUUGCCGCAGGAAGGUCUCUCGACAAUUAAUGCGGCUGGGUCCGUCAGGUGCUUGUCCGUGAGACACCUGGGACCGAGCAAUACUGUUAGCGGACUACACACGUAGAAGUCCAGGUGAAUCCAGAUCGGACGCGGGUUCAAUUCCCGCCGUCUCCAC